GGGCGCACGCGCGCUACACUGACUGAGCCAGCGAGUUUAUCACCUUAGCUGAGAAGCUUGGGUAAUCUUGUGAAACUCAGUCGUGCUGGGGAUAGAGCAUUGCAAUUAUUGCUCUUCAACGAGGAAUACCUAGUAAGCGUGAGUCAUCAGCUCGCGUUGAUUACGUCCC
rnacentral:rRNA from 1 species